rnacentral:rRNA from 1 species
UACGUAGGCGGGAAAUUAAGUCAGUAGUGAAAUCCCACAGCUUAACUGUGGAACUGUUAUUGAUACUGGUUUUCUUGAAUAUAGUUGAGGUAGGCGGAAUGUGUAAUGUAGCGGUGAAAUGCUUAGAUAUUACACAGAACACCGAUUGCGAAGGCAGCUUACUAAGCUAUGAUUGACGCUGAGGUACGAAAGCGUGGGGUGCGAACAGGAUUAGAUACCCUGGUAGUCC